ensembl:lncRNA
CCUCAAUGCUGUAACCAGCUCUCCUCCCCCAUUCCCCUCCUCCGUGCUGUCCUGCCUUGGACCUUGCUGACCGCGGACCAAAACAAGUCCUGACUCAGUACCUGCUUCUGGGCCUGUUGGCCUUCUGGGCACAGCGGGUCUGAAAUGAACAAGCCAGACAACGUCCUGUCCUCAUGGUGCUCACAGCUUCUCUGGGGAGACCAAUGAAUGAAGCUUCAGGGUGUGACUGCUGACUGCUAGGAUGACACAAGAGGGGACAUCCUGUGACAUCCCAGAGGACACCCCAUCCCGACUGCAGCAUACAGAAAACACAAGUGAGAAGUGGAAAAUUACUCUCACUCCCUUGGGCAGAGCCCAGUGUCCAUUCCUGACCUUGGGUCCAGGCGGAAGCAGCUGACGGAUGCGGCCCUGUUACCUUCUGGGUAGCUCCCGGGGAGAGCUAGUCACCCUGCUGACCGCGCCGCCCUGAUUCUCAACAGUCCUCUGGGUUGGAUUCAACACAUCUAUUUGAGUACCCUAGAAAGUCCUUUUCUCCCAGGAUUUCUUUUGUCCCUUGGUCGAUUCGGGGCAGUUUGCCAGUGAGCUAGGUCCCUAAGGAAUGCUGAGUGCAGCCCACUGCCCUGAAGUCUCUCUGCUGGAUGGGAAAGAAUACGAAGGCGACUGUUGUGACAUUCCCAUGCUCAAGGUUCUUCCUUUUGCUUCUUUUGGAGUGAAAUCUUCUUUAACACCCAGCCCCAUAGUUGGGGCUAUGGAGAAAGAGUGGGAAGAUACCUCUGGGAUCAAGUCUCAUAUGAGGGGACAGUGACG